rnacentral:rRNA from 1 species
UACGGGGGGUGCGAGCGUUGUCCGGAAUUACUGGGCGUAAAGGGCUCGUAGGCGGCCAACUAAGUCCGACGUGAAAUCCCAAAGCUUAACUUUGGAACUGCGUCGGAUACUGGAUGGCUUGAAUUCGGGAGAGGGAUGCAGAAUUCCAGGUGUAGCGGUGAAAUGCGUAGAUAUCUGGAGGAAUACCGGUGGCGAAGGCGGCAUCCUGGACCGACAUUGACGCUGAGGAGCGAAAGCUAGGGGAGCAAACGGG